GUUCCUGUAGCGCAAUGGAUAGCGUGUUGGACUUCGAUUCCAUAGGUCAUGGGUUCGAAUCCCACCUGGGAUG